rnacentral:tRNA from 1 species
UCCCAUGUGGCUCAGUUGGUAGAGCAUGGUGUUUGCAAUGCCAGGGUUGUGGGUUCGAUUCCCACAGGGGGGC